UAACAUCUUAGCUCUCAAAUUGAAUUUGUUUUGUCCUCUUCCGAGUAGAAGUCCUCGACUUGGUUGGUUUUUUUUUGUAUUUUGUGUACGGGUAUUAUUACGAGACGGCUGGAGACUGCCUUUCGGGGGUUGUUCUUCGCUGGGAGGAUGGCAACUGAGCCAGAGCAGGUCUGUUUUGGGGUUGGUUGCUAAACGGCGGCUAACGAUGUGCCAAUCUAAUCCUUUGAGAUACUCGUAUGACCACAAACUCCUGUGUCCCCUUAAGCGGGGACAUUAAUGCAAUGUUUGUGCAGUUCGCUUCUGUUCUUGAGUAUACGCUUAAAUCUUCC
rnacentral:lncRNA from 1 species